rnacentral:rRNA from 1 species
AAACCAACAGGGAUUGCCUUAGUAGCGGCGAGUGAAGCGGCAAGAGCUCAAAUUUGAAAUCUGGUACCUUUGGUGCCCGAGUUGUAAUUUGAAGAUCACAAUCUUGAAAUUGGUCCUUGUCUAUGUUCCUUGGAACAGGACGUCACAGAGGGUGAGAAUCCCGUGCGAUGAGGAUACCUUUUUCAUUUAAGAUGUGUUCGACGAGUCGAGUUGUUUGGGAAUGCAGCUCAAAGUGGGUGGUAAAUUCCAUCUAAAGCUAAAUAUUGGCGAGAGACCGAUAGCGAACAAGUACAGUGAUGGAAAGAUGAAAAGAACUUUGAAAAGAGAGUGAAAAAGUACGUGAAAUUGUUGAAAGGGAAGGGUAUUUAAUCAGACUUGGUAUUUAGCUAUCUCUUCUCCUUGUGGGAGGGGCUCUAGCUUUUUACUGGGCCAGCAUCAGUUUUGGUGGUGAGAUAAUCGCAGUUGAAUGUGGCUCCUCGGAGUGUUAUAGCUUCUGUUGAUGUUACCUACUGGGACUGAGGUCUGCGGCUUUGCCUAGGAUGCUGGCGUAAUGAUUAAACACCGC